GAGCAAAACUGAGCAUUCAAACAAUGUGCAUGAUGGCGGAGGGGAGCUCGGUCUGAGGAUUAUUGCUACAUACUUACCGAGACUCUUGCUGGAGGAAUAUUUGCAGAGCCUAGAGACAGCCGCUGAACAGUCAACAUUUGCUAAUAACCACAGCAGGCUGAAACAAGACUUUCCAUAGGGAGAUCUAAGUUUCCGUGACUGUCAAGAGCAUGGGGAGUGCAGGCUGAGCUAAACCUUUGAAAAACAUUUAGGUCACCUCCCAGCAAAUGCACCAAGGAGCUGCCAAAGAAAAGCAUAACAAUCUUUCAGCUUCAAUCAUUUCAGCUGAAAUUGUAAUGCAGAGGAAGGUCGACAUGAUUGCCUUCUUCCAAAACUCAUGAUCGUACGCCAGGCUGUCAUGCAGAUUGGUCUUUCUGAGGUCCACUGGUAUCCAGUCCACGUGCCGAGUCUUUGGUCAUCUUCCAUCCAUGGUCAUCGCAAGGGUCAUUGUACUGACACAGUUCUCCAGUCUCCACUGGAUAUGCCCAUACCAACAUAGCCUAGCCUCCCUCAACCUGUCCAGGGGCGGUGAGUUAUAUGGGCCUGUGGUGCCCGGGCGCCAGCAAAUUCAGGGCCCAGGGGCUUGGGCUCCACCAUUGUUCAGGGCCGGGUCUCUCCACCAGCCCUGCCUGCUGCCCCUGCCUGCCCUGGGCAGUGGACAGCUGCCCCCUGCAGCUCCGCGCUGCGCUCCCUCGCCAGCCGUUGCCACCACCCGCUACAAGGGAGCGGUGCCAGGGGCAGGCUGAGGCGGCUGCUGCUGCGCCGGAGGAGGUGCAUGGCAUACCCCUCUCCCCAGCAGGCGACUCCGAGUCAACUCCAGGGGGGAGGGAGCUUAUCCUGGCGGGACCUCCUGAACAGCAAC